rnacentral:rRNA from 1 species
AAAGCUUGCUUUUCCUGAUGACGAGUGGCGGACGGGUGAGUAAAGUUUGGGAAGCUACCUGAUAGAGGGGGACAACAGUUGGAAACGACUGCUAAUACCGCAUACAGCCUGAGGGUGAAAGCAGCAAUGCGCUAUCAGAUGCGCCCAAAUGGGAUUAGCUAGUAGGUGAGGUAAAGGCUCACCUAGGCGACGAUCUCUAGCUGGUCUGAGAGGAUGAUCAGCCACAUUGGGACUGAGACACGGCCCAGACUCCUACGGGAGGCAGCAGUAGGGAAUAUUGCACAAUGGAGGAAACUCUGAUGCAGCCAUGCCGCGUGUGUGAAGAAGGCCUUCGGGUUGUAAAGCACUUUCGGAGGGGAGGAGAAUGACGUUACCCUCAGAAGAAGCACCGGCUAACUCCGUGCCAGCAGCCGCGGUAAUACGGAGGGUGCAAGCGUUAAUCGGAAUAACUGGGCGUAAAGGGCAUGCAGGCGGUUAAACAAGUAGGAUGUGAAAUCCCCGGGCUCAACCUGGGAGCUGCAUACUAAACUGUUUAACUAGAGUAUUGCAGGGGGAGACGGAAUUCCAGGUGUAGCGGUGGAAUGCGUAGAUAUCUGGAAGAACACCAAAGGCGAAGGCAGUCUCCUGGGCAAAUACUGACGCUCAUAUGCGAAAGCGUGGGUAGCAAACAGGAUUAGAUACCCUGGUAGUCCACGCCGUAAACGAUGUCAAUUAGGAGCUUGUGCGAUAGUAUGGGUUCCGCAGCAAACGCGAUAAAUUGACCGCCUGGGGAGUACGGCCGCAAGGUUAAAACUCAAAUGAAUUGACGGGGGCCCGCACAAGCGGUGGAGCAUGUGGUUUAAUUCGACGCAACGCGAAGAACCUUACCUGACCUUGACAUAGUGAGAACCUCUCUGAAGGGAGAGGGUGCCUUCGGGAGCUCACAUACAGGUGCUGCAUGGCUGUCGUCAGCUCGU